rnacentral:rRNA from 1 species
AACGUAGGAGGCGAGCGUUAUCCGGAUUCACUGGGCGUAAAGGGCAAGUAGGCGGUUUGUCGCGUCUGCCGUGAAAGUCCGGGGCUCAACUCCGGAUCUGCGGUGGGUACGGGCAGACUAGAGUGAUGUAGGGGAGACUGGAAUUCCUGGUGUAGCGGUGAAAUGCGCAGAUAUCAGGAGGAACACCGAUGGCGAAGGCAGGUCUCUGGGCAUUAACUGACGCUGAGGAGCGAAAGCAUGGGGAGCGAACAGG